rnacentral:rRNA from 1 species
GACGAACGCUGGCGGCGCGCCUAACACAUGCAAGUCGAACGAGCGAGAGAGAGCUUGCUUUCUCGAGCGAGUGGCGAACGGGUGAGUAACGCGUGAGGAACCUGCCUCAAAGAGGGGGACAACAGUUGGAAACGACUGCUAAUACCGCAUAAGCCCACGGGUCGACAUCGACCAGAGGGAAAAGGAGCAAUCCGCUUUGAGAUGGCCUCGCGUCCGAUUAGCUAGUUGGUGAGGUAAUGGCCCACCAAGGCGACGAUCGGUAGCCGGACUGAGAGGUUGAACGGCCACAUUGGGACUGAGACACGGCCCAGACUCCUACGGGAGGCAGCAGUGGGGAAUAUUGCACAAUGGGGGAAACCCUGAUGCAGCGACGCCGCGUGGAGGAAGAAGGUCUUCGGAUUGUAAACUCCUGUUGUUGAGGAAGAUAAUGACGGUACUCAACAAGGAAGUGACGGCUAACUACGUGCCAGCAGCCGCGGUAAAACGUAGGUCACAAGCGUUGUCCGGAAUUACUGGGUGUAAAGGGAGCGCAGGCGGGAGAACAAGUUGGGAGUGAAAUCCAUGGGCUCAACCCAUGAACUGCUUUCAAAACUGUUUUUCUUGAGUAGUGCAGAGGUAGGCGGAAUUCCCGGUGUAGCGGUGGAAUGCGUAGAUAUCGGGAGGAACACCAGUGGCGAAGGCGGCCUACUGGGCACCAACUGACGCUGAGGCUCGAAAGUGUGGGUAGCAAACAGGAUUAGAUACCCUGGUAGUCCACACCGUAAACGAUGAUUACUAGGUGUUGGAGGAUUGACCCCUUCAGUGCCGCAGUUAACACAAUAAGUAAUCCACCUGGGGAGUACGACCGCAAGGUUGAAACUCAAAGGAAUUGACGGGGGCCCGCACAAGCAGUGGAGUAUGUGGUUUAAUUCGACGCAACGCGAAGAGCCUUACCAAGUCUUGACAUCCCUUGACGAUGCUGGAAACAGUAUUUCUCUUCGGAGCAAGGAGACAGGUGGUGCAUGGUUGUCGUCAGCUCGUGUCGUGAGAUGUUGGGUUAAGUCCCGCAACGAGCGCAACCCUUAUGGUCAGUUACUACGCAAGAGGACUCUGGCCAGACUGCCGUUGACAAAACGGAGGAAGGUGGGGAUGACGUCAAAUCAUCAUGCCCUUUAUGACUUGGGCUACACACGUACUACAAUGGCGUUAAACAAAGAGAAGCUAAGACCGCGAGGUGGAGCUAAACUCAGAAACAACGUCCCAGUUCGGACUGCAGGCUGCAACUCGCCUGCACGAAGUCGGAAUUGCUAGUAAUCGUGGAUCAGCAUGCCACGGUGAAUACGUUUCCCGGGCCU